UACGGGGGGGGCAAGCGUUGUCCGGAAUUACUGGGCGUAAAGGGCUCGUAGGCGGCCAACUAAGUCAGACGUGAAAUCCCUCGGCUUAACCGGGGAACUGCGUCUGAUACUGGAUGGCUUGAGUGUGGGAGAGGAAUGCGGAAUUCCAGGUGUAGCGGUGAAAUGCGUAGAUAUCUGGAGGAACACCGGUGGCGAAGGCGGCAUUCUGGACCAUUACUGACGCUGAGGAGCGAAAGCCAGGGGAGCAAACGGG
rnacentral:rRNA from 1 species